UUUGCUUCCCAUUUUUUUGUU
rnacentral:piRNA from 1 species